UGAGGAAUAUUGGUCAAUGGCCGGGAGGCUGAACCAGCCAAGCCGCGUGAAGGAAGACGGCCCUACGGGUUGUAAACUUCUUUUGUCGGGGAACAAAAGGGAGGGCGUGUCCUCCUCUGCGGGUACCCGAAGAAAAAGCAUCGGCUAACUCCGUGCCAGCAGCCGCGGUAAUACGGAGGAUGCGAGCGUUAUCCGGAUUUAUUGGGUUUAAAGGGUGCGUAGGCGGUCUGUUAAGUCAGCGGUAAAAGACGGGGGCUCAACCCCGGCAAGCCGUUGAAACUGGCGGACUAGAGACGGAGAGAAGUAAGCGGAAUGCGCAGUGUAGCGGUGAAAUGCAUAGGUAUUGCGCAGAACUCCGAUUGCGAAGGCAGCUUACCGGCUCCGGACUGACGCUGAGGCACGAAAGCGUGGGGAUCAAACAGGAUUAGAUACC
rnacentral:rRNA from 1 species